rnacentral:rRNA from 1 species
GGCGGACGGGUGAGUAACGCGUGGGAAUCUACCCAGUAGUGGGGGACAACUACCGGAAACGGUAGCUAAUACCGCAUACGCCCUAUGGGGGAAAGGCUUCGGCCGCUAUUGGAUGAGCCCGCGUCAGAUUAGCUAGUUGGUAGGGUAAAGGCCUACCAAGGCAACGAUCUGUAGCUGGUCUGAGAGGACGAACAGCCACACUGGGACUGAGACACGGCCCAGACUCCUACGGGAGGCAGCAGUGGGGAAUAUUGGACAAUGGGCGAAAGCCUGAUCCAGCAAUGCCGCGUGUGUGAAGAAGGCCUGCGGGUUGUAAAGCACUUUCAGUUGGGAAGAUGAUGACGUUACCAACAGAAGAAGCACCGGCUAAAUCCGUGCCAGCAGCCGCGGUAAUACGGAUGGUGCGAGCGUUAAUCGGAAUUACUGGGCGUAAAGCGCGCGUAGGCGGCUAAGUCAGUCAGAAGUGAAAGCCCCGGGCUCAACCUGGGAAUUGCUUUUGAUACUGCUUAGCUAGAGUUUGGUAGAGGAUAGUGGAAUUCCAGGUGUAGCGGUGAAAUGCGUAGAUAUCUGGAGGAACAUCAGUGGCGAAGGCGACUGUCUGGACCAAAACUGACGCUGAGGUGCGAAAGCGUGGGUAGCAAACAGGAUUAGAUACCCUGGUAGUCCACGCCGUAAACGAUGUCAACUAGCCGUCGGGUCUAUUUACAGACUUGGUGGCGCAGCUAACGCGAUAAGUUGACC